rnacentral:rRNA from 1 species
GUCACACUAUUAUAGAAAGAACUAUAACGGUAAACCAACAUAUUAAAACAUAUAUCUUGUGGUGAAAUAUUAGUAUUAAUAUCUCAAAAUCUAUGUAACAAGUGCUAAACGUAAUUAGUAAACAAGGAUUAGAGACCCUUUUAUACAUACGCCGACUGAACUAACCGAGUACUACAACUAUCAGAGUUAAAACUUAAACAACAUGGCGGUAACUUUCAAUUUAGGGGAACUUACUCAGUAAAUGAUAACCACCAAGGCAUAGUAACUAUAAGUCACUCUUGUAUGCCGUCGUCGUCAGAUAACACUUGAAGUUUUAUCAUAAUAAAAAUUUUUAAAAAGACAGAUCAAGGUGCAGACAAUCUUAUAGAUAGGGCGAGUUACAAUUUAAAUUUCUAUCAGAUGUAACACUUAAUAUAAACUGAAGCAGGACUUAAAAGUAAUCUAUAAUAUAAAUACUAUUUGGAAUAUUUAAAGUUGUGCACAA